rnacentral:lncRNA from 1 species
UCCUCUCUUUACUCGCUUGAUGCUUUGUCAUCCGUGAUUAAAAGCAUGAAUAAGACAUGGAAAUGCUGCUUGGUUGUUUUUCCCCUCUGUGCUGUGGCAAACAGUCUGCACAUCGGCCUCUAAUGACCCGGAGCUGCCGUUACCGGGCGGAUUAUCGCCUGGGUAAGUGUCUCGGAGCAGUUCGGGCGGAUGCUCAUUGCUUUUGCUUAUUGCUAAUGUGAGCCGUCGUGCACUGUGGUUCAGCCUGCUGUGGUAUGAAGCUCCGGGUCGUCGUGGACCAGAACCAGCAUAAUGAUGGACUGCGUGCCCCUGUGUUUCUCCAGGAGCCUGCUGGAGGAGGAGGAGGCGAGGCUGUGCGACCUGUGACUCGAGGCCCGGCGGCUCCGGGAGCGUCUGGCGUGCGGCCGAACGCUCCCACGCUCACGCGGAUUAGAAAGCAGACAGAGGAGAAACGCAGAACCCAGAUCAGCAGUAGGGUGAAGCAUAAGUGUGUGUCCUGGUUCCCAAACGUGAGCCCACCCAGUGGAGCGGAUACGGUUACAGCGCGCGCUACGACGAGGGCUCUCUACGGGCGCUGGAAGGUGAUGCGGAUCACGUGACACCUCUGCUGCUCCCUCGCUAGAGGACAACCUCGUUUCCAUGGCAACUGCACAAACAUCUGUCUCCCACUUCUUGAGACAAUAUACAACGCUCUAGUUGUUUGUACUGGGCAUGUUCGUGUCUUUGCGUCUGAUGGUUUUCCUCCAGUAUCACACCAUACGUGAUGAUGUCGUCAUUGGAAGGACUCGAUAUUUUGUUUUCAUGAACGCCUGACUAACAUCAGCAGUGUGUUGAAUAAUUAUAAUGGAAAAGACUCGACCUUUUAUUAGUGACUUAAUAAUAACUGUUAAUGUUUUACAGUCAGUCAAUGAUGUUUGUACCGUAAAUGAUUUAAUGUGCUUAUUAAAACCAGGGUCACCUUUAAUAAAGCUCUUCUAACAACC